rnacentral:rRNA from 1 species
UACGGAGGGUGCAAGCAUUGAUCGGAAUUACUGGGCGUAAGGGGCGCGUAGGCGGCCAGAAAAGUCAGAUGUGAAAUUCCGGGGCUCAACCCCGGAGCGGCAUUUGAAACUUUUUGGCUUGAGUUCAGUUAGGGUAAACGGAAUUCCACGUGUAGCGGUGAAAUGCGUAGAUAUGUGGAAGAACACCGGUGGUGAAGACGGUUUACUGGGCUGAGACUGACGCUGAGGCGCGAAAGCUAGGGGAGCAAACAGG